GAUGAACGCUGGCGGCGUGCCUAAUACAUGCAAGUCGAGCGAACAGACGCGGAGCUUGCUCCUCUGACGUUAGCGGCGGACGGGUGAGUAACACGUGGAUCACCUACCUAUAAGACUGGGAUAACUUCGGGAAACCGGAGCUAAUACCGGAUAAUCUCUUGAACCGCAUGGUUCAAUAGUGAAAGACGGUUUUGCUGUCACUUCUAGAUGGAUCCGCGCCGCAUUAGCUAGUUGGUAAGGUAACGGCUUACCAAGGCAACGAUGCGUAGCCGACCUGAGGGCGGGAUGGGCCACAGUGGAAGUGAGACACGGUACAGACACCGAGGGGAGGCAGCAGUAGGUAAGCGUGCGCAAUGGGCGAAAGACUGACGGAGCAGCGCCGCGUGAGUGAAGAAGGUCUGCGGAUCGUAAAACGGUGUUAUUAGGGAAAAACAAAUGUGUAAGUAACGAUGCGCGAGUGGACGGAACCUAAACAGAAGGCCACGGCUAACUAGUU
rnacentral:rRNA from 1 species